UGGUCGCCUGUACCGUCCGGUCCGCGGAAAAUGAGUUUCGUUUUGGUUGAAGGUUGAAGUAUCAACAGGUUGUUGUUUUUUUUUUGAUGAGAAAUAGUAAGUUUGACGUUUCGUGUUUCGCGAUUCAAAAGUGCAAUAAGAGUAAACAAAUCCCGUUUUUUUCGAUUUCGGAUUCAUAAGUAUGUUUUGUUUACAUUUUUGAUUGUUAUUUCAAGUCAAAAUGAAGUUUGUUUGCAACCGAAAUUAUGCCACACGGAGAUGGUGUUUGUCCGCGUUGGAACAAGAGAGAGAAAAAGAAAAGAAACAAACCGCAUGGGUAAUGAAAAUGUUGCUCAAAUUUCGCGUUGUCUGGUUUUAGCGUGUAACAAAUAUUGUCAUUAUUGAGUUUGUAUGAGAAUCAAGUUAGAUAGUAUAAUAGUGGCAAACAUAAUCAAGUCAAUCAAUUCCAGCGAGCGAUUGUGUGGUAGUAUAUUAGUAGUAGUAGCAAAAAACAUCAUUCCUAUGUAAAAAGAAAAAAAAAAUCAAAGAAACACAGUAGGCGACAUUCCCAAAACAAGAAAAAGGAAAACAAACGAGAGUUAACCGAAACAAACAGGAAACAGUCUUGUUCAACGUGUAUUAAAAAAAAAUGCAACAAUUCAGCUUGGCAGUGCUGCCAGCAGCGCCUCAACAGCAGCCACAAGCGCGCCUCAUCGAACGACGCUGGAUCUAUUAUCUGGACUUGAUUACGCGAGAACUAACGAGAAACGCAAAAAGCCCUUUUAUGACACAGCGCUUGUGGACAUCCAAGUAGGCCCGCGCGCGCGCGCGUUGGAAUUCUCUUGCGCGCUCUAUGGUUUUUGCCAAUGCAAUGGUAGCUGAAAGGUAACUAUGCGUCGUACAACGCGAAUACGAACUAAUCUAAUACAGAAGCUCCGGUUAUAGCGGAGGUAAAACGGGGCGAUUAUUGUUUUUUUUUUAUUAAAUAGGAUAUACAAUUGAAACAAACUGCUUUUCCUCUAAAUAAACUCGAGUACUAGUUUAUACAGUUUUAAGAUAAGAUAUAAUUUAGUAAAAUAGUAGUGUAAAGAGAAAUUGUAUAAAAGUCAAAAUGUCCGAGACGAUAUAGAAUACAAAUGGAUGAAUAACGAGAGAAUAACGAGAGUGAGAGAGAGAAAGGGGAGAGUGUGAGAAAACAGUAGUAAGAUCGAAGUGGGCGUGUUUGGGUGUUUGUGAGAGUGGUUCUGGUGGGUGUGCUCAUUCCAUAGUUUGACAUAUCACUUGCAAGUCUGUGUGGGUGUGUUUGUGUGUAUUUGUUUGGGUUUGCAUGUGCGCUCCUGCAAUCAAGACAUCUGGAUGUCGGUGUGAACUUUUGUUGAAUUUUUGGAUUGGACUUGUGGAGACAACAGUUACACAACCAUAACGGAUGCAAUACGAGUUCUUUUGUUUCUGGUGUGUUCGAUUUUCUUUUGAUUAUGCUCCCUCUCUCGAGAGAAAACGAGAGGCAGACAGUGAGAGUGAGAUGGGUUUCGAUCGUGAACCAACAGGAGGACCUCUAAACUAAGCUUGAACAACUCUCAUUUUAGCAAAAUUCGUGUUUUUGGUGAUUGGUUAGACCUUGUUCCGAGAAACUAGUUUACACACGAUUAAGAAGCGUUUUUCAAACCGAUGGCGCAGUGCAGAAACCGAAGAAAAAGCUAAAAUUUUCCAUUGUUUUUCAUUGUGCUUUCAUGAACUGUAUACUAAGUUUGAUAGAACUGUGCAGGUUUUUGUUUUGGCUGAACAGCGGAACACUGUAGUUUUGUAGACUGUAUGCGCUAGUUGGUAGUUUUCUAGUGUCCUAUCACGAUCUUUCCAGAAGUUCGGGAUCACUUAUCUAGUUUUAGU